CUGCGUGCAACUUAUAAAUCAUUCGAAAAUUCACAUUCUCCUACAUAAUUAUUGUAGGUGAUAAUACCGCAAACACGCUUGUCGAUAUAAUAGUUAAGUCCAAGAUGUUGUAACAAUGGUGUUUUCGGUUUAGACAUAUUAUGGUUACAUGUGUGCAGCGAGCGCGUAUUAGCGUACAGUGGAAGUCGGAAGUGAGGAAGUAGAAAGAAACACGCGGCGUACGUCUUGUAAUAAUUAUCGCAAUCAUUUUUAUUAUAAACGGAAAA